AACGAACGCUGGCGGCAUGCCUAACACAUGCAAGUCGAACGGGAUCCUAGCUUGCUAGGUGAGAGUGGCGGACGGGUGAGUAACACGUGGGAAUCUGCCUUUUGGUUCGGGAUAACCGCGGGAAACUGCGGCUAAUACCGAAUGCCCUCGAGAGAGGAAAGAUUUAUCGCCAGAAGAGGAGCCCGCGUCCGAUUAGGUAGUUGGUGGGGUAAAGGCCUACCAAGCCGACGAUCGGUAGCUGGUCUGAGGGGAUGAUCAGCCACACUGGGACUGAGAUACGGCCCAGACUCCUACGGGAGGCAGCAGUGGGGAAUAUUGGACAAUGGGGGCGAACCCUGAUCCAGCAAUGCCGCGUGAGUGAUGAAGGCCUUAGGGUUGUAAAGCUCUUUUGCCAGGGAAGAUGAUGACUGUACCUGGAGAAUAAGCCCCGGCUAACUUCGUGCCAGCAGCCGCGGUAAU
rnacentral:rRNA from 1 species